AUUGAACGCUGGCGGCAUGCCUUACACAUGCAAGUCGAACGGCAGCGCGGGGCAACCUGGCGGCGAGUGGCGAACGGGUGAGUAAUAUAUCGGAACAUACCCUAGAGUGGGGGAUAACGUAGCGAAAGUUACGCUAAUACCGCAUACGCACUAAGGUGGAAAGUGGGGGAUCUUCGGACCUCAUGCUCAUGGAGUGGCCGAUAUCUGAUUAGCUAGUUGGUGAGGUAAAGGCUCACCAAGGCGACGAUCAGUAGCUGGUUUGAGAGAACGACCAGCCACACUGGAACUGAGGCACGGUCCAGACUCCUACGGGAGGCAGCAGUGGGGAAUUUUGGACAAUGGGGGCAACCCUGAUCCAGCAAUGCCGCGUGAGUGAAGAAGGCCUCGGUUGUAAGACGUCUUUCACCCUACGACGACUGAUGACGGUACC
rnacentral:rRNA from 1 species